rnacentral:rRNA from 1 species
UACGUAGGGUGCGAGCGUUGUCCGGAAUUAUUGGGCGUAAAGAGCUCGUAGGCGGCUUGUCGCGUCGGAUGUGAAAGCCCGGGGCUUAACUCCGGGUCUGCAUUCGAUACGGGCAGACUGGAGUUCGGCAGGGGAGACUGGAAUUCCUGGUGUAGCGGUGAAAUGCGCAGAUAUCAGGAGGAACACCGGUGGCGAAGGCGGGUCUCUGGGCCGAUACUGACGCUGAGGAGCGAAAGCGUGGGGAGCGAACGGG